rnacentral:rRNA from 1 species
AAUCAACGCUGGCGGCGUGCCUAACACAUGCAAGUCGAACGAGAAAGUGGAGCAAUCCAUGAGUAAAGUGGCGACCGGGUGAGUAACACGUGACUAACCUACCCUAGAGUGGGGAAUAACCUCGGGAAACCGGGGCUAAUACCGCAUAACAUCAUCGGGUGUAAAUUUCUGAUGAUCAAAGGAGCAAUUCGCUCAAGGAGGGGGUCGCGGCUGAUUAGUUAGUUGGUGAGGUAACGGCUCACCAAGACUUAGAUCAGUAGCCGGCCUGAG